rnacentral:rRNA from 1 species
GGCUCAGGACGAACGCUGGCGGCGUGCCUAAUACAUGCAAGUCGAGCGGACAGAUGGGAGCUUGCUCCCUGAUGUUAGCGGCGGACGGGUGAGUAACACGUGGGUAACCUGCCUGUAAGACUGGGAUAACUCCGGGAAACCGGGGCUAAUACCGGAUGCUUGUUUGAACCGCAUGGUUCAAACAUAAAAGGUGGCUUCGGCUACCACUUACAGAUGGACCCGCGGCGCAUUAGCUAGUUGGUGAGGUAAUGGCUCACCAAGGCGACGAUGCGUAGCCGACCUGAGAGGGUGAUCGGCCACACUGGGACUGAGACACGGCCCAGACUCCUACGGGAGGCAGCAGUAGGGAAUCUUCCGCAAUGGACGAAAGUCUGACGGAGCAACGCCGCGUGAGUGAUGAAGGUUUUCGGAUCGUAAAGCUCUGUUGUUAGGGAAGAACAAGUACCGUUCGAAUAGGGCGGUACCUUGACGGUACCUAACCAGAAAGCCACGGCUAACUACGUGCCAGCAGCCGCGGUAAUACGUAGGUGGCAAGCGUUGUCCGGAAUUAUUGGGCGUAAAGGGCUCGCAGGCGGUUUCUUAAGUCUGAUGUGAAAGCCCCCGGCUCAACCGGGGAGGGUCAUUGGAAACUGGGGAACUUGAGUGCAGAAGAGGAGAGUGGAAUUCCACGUGUAGCGGUGAAAUGCGUAGAGAUGUGGAGGAACACCAGUGGCGAAGGCGACUCUCUGGUCUGUAACUGACGCUGAGGAGCGAAAGCGUGGGGAGCGAACAGGAUUAGAUACCCUGGUAGUCCACGCCGUAAACGAUGAGUGCUAAGUGUUAGGGGGUUUCCGCCCCUUAGUGCUGCAGCUAACGCAUUAAGCACUCCGCCUGGGGAGUACGGUCGCAAGACUGAAACUCAAAGGAAUUGACGGGGGCCCGCACAAGCGGUGGAGCAUGUGGUUUAAUUCGAAGCAACGCGAAGAACCUUACCAGGUCUUGACAUCCUCUGACAAUCCUAGAGAUAGGACGUCCCCUUCGGGGGCAGAGUGACAGGUGGUGCAUGGUUGUCGUCAGCUCGUGUCGUGAGAUGUUGGGUUAAGUCCCGCAACGAGCGCAACCCUUGAUCUUAGUUGCCAGCAUUCAGUUGGGCACUCUAAGGUGACUGCCGGUGACAAACCGGAGGAAGGUGGGGAUGACGUCAAAUCAUCAUGCCCCUUAUGACCUGGGCUACACACGUGCUACAAUGGACAGAACAAAGGGCAGCGAAACCGCGAGGUUAAGCCAAUCCCACAAAUCUGUUCUCAGUUCGGAUCGCAGUCUGCAACUCGACUGCGUGAAGCUGGAAUCGCUAGUAAUCGCGGAUCAGCAUGCCGCGGUGGAAUACGUUCCCCGGGCCUUGUACACACCGCCCGUCACACCACGAGAGUUUGUAACACCCGAAGUCGGUGAGGUAACCUUUUAGGAGCCAGCCGCCGAAGGUGGGACAGAUGAUUGGGGUGAAGUCGUAACAG